rnacentral:rRNA from 1 species
GUGGGGAAUUUUGGACAAUGGGCGCAAGCCUGAUCCAGCAAUGCUGCGUGCAGGAAGAAGGCCUUCGGGUUGUAAACUGCUUUUGUACGGAACGAAAAGGCUCUGGUUAAUACCUGGGGCUCAUGACGGUACCGUAAGAAUAAGCACCGGCUAACUACGUGCCAGCAGCCGCGGUAAUACGUAGGGUGCAAGCGUUAAUCGGAAUUACUGGGCGUAAAGCGUGCGCAGGCGGUUUUGUAAGACAGACGUGAAAUCCCCGGGCUCAACCUGGGAAUGGCGUUUGUGACUGCAAAGCUGGAGUGCGGCAGAGGGGGAUGGAAUUCCGCGUGUAGCAGUGAAAUGCGUAGAUAUGCGGAGGAACACCGAUGGCGAAGGCAAUCCCCUGGGCCUGCACUGACGCUCAUGCACGAAAGCGUGGGGAGCAAACAGGAUUAGAUACCCGAGUAGUCC